GACGAACGCUGGCGGCGUGCCUAAUACAUGCAAGUAGAACGCAGUUGCGAACGGGUGAGUAACGCGUAGGUAACUGCCUCAUAGCGGGGGAUAACUAUUGGAAACGAUAGCUAAUACCGCAUACUGUGAGAUGGACCUGCGUUGUAUUAGCUAGUUGGUGAGGUAAAGGCUCACCAAGGCGACGAUACAUAGCCGACCUGAGAGGGUGAUCGGUCACACUUGGACUGAGACACGGCCCAGACUCCUACGGGAGGCAGCAGUAGGGAAUCUUUGGAAAUGGGCGGAAGUCUGACCGAGCAAAGCCGCGGUGUUGAAGAAGGUUUUCGGAGCGGAAAGCUCUGUUGAUCGAGAAGCGGUAACUAAACAGAAAGGGACGGCUAACUACGUGCCAGCCGCCGCGGUAAUAC
rnacentral:rRNA from 1 species